GUACCCGGCGGGAGACUUGAGGAGGGAGGAGACGGAAGCCGCCGGAAGCGAGGUUGACGGCGGACAAGUAAAAGGACUCAAUCCCGGAGACGCCGGAUUUGAUGAUGUGGCAAGCCUCCCAGAGGCGUGAGCUCUCGUCCAUGUACUCAUCGAGCCAUUUGUCGCCGAGGAGUGGGAGCUGUAGCUUCUGAACAAGUAAGGUGAGGUUGGAGUGGAAAGACUGGAGCGUGGACAAGACUUUGUGAAGGAAGUGAGCAGAUAGGAACAAGUUGUUGUUGUUGUUGUUGUGGUGGUGGUGGUGGUGGUGGUGGUGGUGGUGGUGG
rnacentral:lncRNA from 1 species